CAUAAUAUGUGAUAUUUUAGGAAGUCAUUUCAAUUGUUAUAGUAGGAAUGUUAAUCUUCGUGAUGAAAUUUAAUAAACUACAACUGAAAGUUCUCAAGAGAAGUGAGUACAAUUAAAAACUUUCUUUUUCAUUGUUUUGGCCACUUACAUUUACUAUUGAUGUUGGAUAGCUUUUAUUAUUUACAAUUUGUAGUAUCAAGUUCAGAGCACCUUACUUGAAGUAGGAUUAUAGUGUUGAGUUUGGAGUACCUUUUUUAUUGUAAUUUGAAUUUUUUUAUCUUUUCAAGUACACAGAAAAAGUGUAUAUUGACAAUGACACCUCCUUUUGUGUGAUGUUUUCUUAAAAUUGAUAAAGUAUUGUGUAUUAUAAUCGCAAAACUAAAACCCAUAUUGUUCAACUGCCACAAUUGUUUCAUUUGGCCAAGUUUGAGAUGUACUGAUUUUAUAACAACAAAUUUGUGAUCUACAUACUGCAAGUCCAACAAACUGUUGGAGUUGAACUGUGAUGUUAAAUUAAAGAUGUGUAUAAUGUAUUAAAACACUAUCUGAAUCUUGAGGUAUUAAACAUGUUUAGGUAGAAUGUUGAAUUUAGAGAGUUACCUAUGUAGAAAGAGUCAUUAUCUUUUAAAUAAAGAUUUUAGCUAAAACUCCUCCAAACUUUGUGUAGAAGCUUUAGUAGUGGUAAUUCACGUGUGAUUAGUCACCAAGACGGAUUGUUGGAGUAAAAUCUGGCUCAUAGUUUAUAGUUACUACUUGAAUACGUAAGUUAGUGUCUCAGUUGUGUAAGCUAUUUUGUAGGUCCAGAGUUGUAUAUGCUGUGUGAGAACUCUUAAGUUUCUGCGAUAUGCAAAUCUUAUUUGUCUUAUUUUGUAUAGAGUACAUUUGUUGAAAGAAUUUGUGCAAAUGAUGUAGAUAGGACAUCUUUUGAUACUUUCUAUUUUAGCUUGAUAUAUUUAUUUUAUAUAUCUUUGUGUUGUAAAAAAUUGUAUUGUUGCACAUGUGAGAGCUAAUAAGGAUAUCUUCAUUCUGCUUUCUUUAAUUAUACUGAAAGCAGUUAUAGAAAGCUGAGUUUGGGAUAUAUGUAAAUAAAAUAAAGCAGAGUAUUUUUUAUUUUAAAAAAAGUUAUAUAUGGGUUGAUAUUUUAAGAGUUGCAUAUCAGGCAUUUGAAUAUCGACCUUUUUGUGGAGCUGGUGAUAAGAGUAAGGAGCUUGAGUUUUAGUUUUUAGUUUUUGCUUCUCUAGGUCUGCACUUCAUUUCUUGCGUGCCAAUUCAAAUGUUUUCUUUUUCUUGUUGAAAGUUAUCUUACAGCUAUGAUGUGGUUAUAUUCUUUUCCAAUAAUAACUAAUGGCUUAUCUUCCUUUUUCAUAUUUUUUUUUGGGUGAUUGCCCUGUUUGUCUGCUUUAGGUGUCAAUUCUUGCCUUUGUUCUGCUGCUCCUCCGAUGCAAAAGUGGGAUUCUCAAAAAGGAGAUAGAUAGUAUGAUCUAUAUCCUUUGUGAUGCAAUGAGCUGCCACCUUUCACUGCGCCGAUCCUAGCAAAGUUAGCAGAUUCAGUCUUCAUAUAUCUAUUAUACGACAUGAGGAUUUAUUGGUGAGUUCCAAUCGUUCUUUUUCUUGGUGUAUUUAUCUAAUUUCAGUUUGUACGAAGCUUUAGGACAGAAAAAGAUAGUAGAGUAUUUUUUCCUAUAUUGCAGCCUGCAGUUUUUAAGACUCUUAAAUUUCUUAAUAGGUAGAACUAAGUGCAGAAAAGAGAACAUUUAUUGUUAUAAUUUGUAUUUGUGGCAUGAUGUGAUAUAUCCAAUUGUCUUACUUUGUCUAAAACUAUCCUCUUCUCCUAGCAAUUUCGCAAUCCCAAAAUCACUUAAAUGGACAACCGUGUUUUCAUCUAGCAAAAUGUUGCUAGGCUUCAAAUCACAAUGCACUACUGGCUGUGAAUAAUCGUUAUGGAGAUAGUCUAAAGGCUACAUCGAUCAUUAUGUCCAACUUUUGCAACAUGUCUGAAUAUGCAUAAGUCAUAAGAGUGUAACCAUUUGUUAGGGCUGUCAUUUGGCAAGUACUCCAAAAUAAGGCCUUGAAAAUAUCUCAUAGAGAUUCUAUAAAUGCUCAAAUUAGUUAGACAUAGUCAUAGAAAUCAAGCUCAUGCGACACUGACAUUAGUGAAGAAUGUCCGGACUCCAUUUUAUGGGACUAAAUUGGGUAUAUUGUUGUUGUAUGUAUAGUCAUAGUACUUAAGUAGAACGAGCUACAUUAGACUUGAAACAACCUAAGUAUCUAAUAAUUUUAGUUUCAUACUUCAUUUGUUGUGCCAAGAAUUAGUGUCCAGGAAAGCUACUGCUUCGUCACUUUAAGAGGUGAACCGUUGCGAAGUGGUAUAACAAUGUUGCAAAGUUUUGAAGCGAAGCACCUUAGAGAAGCAAGUGCUUCAAUGGCGAAGUGAGGUUAAGUGUGAAGUAAUAUGAAGCAUCUCUCCUUUAUAAUAUAUAUCAUAAACAUUUUAAAAGGUUUAUUUUAAGAAGUUCAACAUCAAAAUUUUACAUUUCAGACGGCAAGGGUUUCACGUCCUCUCUGAUGAUUGAAUUUCAGGUAAGCAUCUUUUCUAGCUUUUUCUCCUUUCUUCUUCUACUUAUCCAUCGUCCUUAGGUGUUUCUUUUCUUUCAUCAUCUACUUUCUUCAUCCUAAUUUCAAAUGUAAUAGGUGAUUUUGAUCAAAGACAAUCCAGAAGAAAUUGAUUGCAACACUAGAUGCAUCUGUUAGUGUCUGAUUUAUAAAUAUAGUAUAUAUAAAUGUAGUUAGUACUCUCACAUAUGCAAAUAGUAUGACAUUCACAAAACAUGUAGAGAAACACAUUUAGCAGCUAUACUAUGUUCGAUAUAAUGGUAUUUAUAUGUAAUUUAAUCAUUUAUAUUAAUCGAUUUUAGAUUAAGAAUAAGACUACACAUUGGGCCCGUGCACGAAUUUUCGCUUAUUUUACAAAAGUCAUUCCAAGUACAUGCAUUACUUCUAUUGAUCCACCAUGUUCACCCACUAACUUCUCAAAGUUGCAAAGAUAUUUUUAGAUUAUGACAUUUCCCUUAAAAUGUUCAUUAGGAAUCUGUAAAGCUUGCUUAAUGUUGAAUAAUAGAAGAUAUGGCUUUUUCUAUCUUGUCUUGAUAUAGAAGUUUACUGUAAGCAGUGAUGUGACAAUAUUGACAAAUUUCCAUGUGAAUGAACAAAUAAAGAAGAUCUCAUUUAGAAGUAUGCGUCGGAAUGCUUUCCGGUAUCCUUGACAUAGACAAACAAAUCAUGUUGUUCUCAUUACCUUUAUUCAAUUGUGUCUCUUCAUCAGUUUUGCAGGUUAGAGUAUCUUCUUCUUCAUUUUCAGCCACUACACCAAAACAGAGUGUCUAUAACAUUUCACGUUUUUUUAUUUACAUGACGCUUGAUAUUAGAUAUAUUACUGAAAUGCUUCAUAAAUUGCAGAUAUGCAUAUUUCAUAUCUGGUGUCUUCCAGUCUUAAGUUGUCCAAUAAUCAUUUGUUUAUGUAGGAGUACAAUGUACAAUUAUUAAAUAUACGUACUUUCUAAGGACACGCUAUUUUCCCAUGAUAGAACAAAGUAUAUUUUGUUGCAGUGCAGUUGUAACUUAUAACCAUCUAAUCAUGUGAUUGCUUCAGAA